rnacentral:snoRNA from 1 species
AUCAUCAGUAGUGGUUAUACUAUCUCUUAAUAGAUAUAUAACUUGUACUAUUUAUAGUACACUACAUAAAGACCUUAGUUUUAUCCUAAGUACACCACAUUAGUGCUUGUGUGAAUUGGGUAUUACGUAUCAGCUAAGUGUUUUUUGACCUUUUUAACAGAUUGGCCACAAUCAACACUUCGUUUCCGGUCUCUUAGAAUUUAGUGCAUUUGUGUCUUCGUAUAGUUCUGACAACGUAGAUUGGAGCCAUUUAUGGCUGUGAUUGAUUAUGAUCAGAUUAAGACACGAUGCUACAUUC